UUCUCCUGUUGAAGCUCCGUCUCUGGCUCCCUUUCUGAAUCUACCAUAUUUGAAGCUCUCAUAUCUAUUGAAGGGCAACUAUUCAAGAUCAAUAGUUACACAGAUGGGUAUGCCUUCGCCUCUUAAUACAGACUUGCCAUGAAUGAGAAGAAGACAAGAAGCGUGAGAGGUCAAGGAGUUGUUGAUUCAAGCUUUUCUCUGGCUGCACCACCAAUUGCUCUGUUAUUCUGGGUUUCAAUUGGGUCUGU